ensembl:snRNA U6 U6 spliceosomal RNA
GUGCUUGCUUCGGCAGCACAUAUACCAUAAUUGGAACAAUACAGAGAAUAUUAGCAUGGCCCCUGUGCAAGGAUAAUACACAAAUUCAUGAAGCAUUCCAUAUUUUU